UGCUCAGGACGAACGCUGGCGGCGUGCUUAACACAUGCAAGUCGAACGAUGAAGCCUUUCGGGGUGGAUUAGUGGCGAACGGGUGAGUAACACGUGGGCAAUCUGCCCUUCACUCUGGGACAAGCCCUGGAAACGGGGUCUAAUACCGGAUAACACUCUGUCCUGCAUGGGACGGGGUUAAAAGCUCCGGCGGUGAAGGAUGAGCCCGCGGCCUAUCAGCUUGUUGGUGGGGUAAUGGCCUACCAAGGCGACGACGGGUAGCCGGCCUGAGAGGGCGACCGGCCACACUGGGACUGAGACACGGCCCAGACUCCUACGGGAGGCAGCAGUGGGGAAUAUUGCACAAUGGGCGAAAGCCUGAUGCAGCGACGCCGCGUGAGGGAUGACGGCCUUCGGGUUGUAAACCUCUUUCAGCAGGGAAGAAGCGAAAGUGACGGUACCUGCAGAAGAAGCGCCGGCUAACUACGUGCCAGCAGCCGCGGUAAUACGUAGGGCGCAAGCGUUGUCCGGAAUUAUUGGGCGUAAAGAGCUCGUAGGCGGCUUGUCACGUCGGAUGUGAAAGCCCGGGGCUUAACCCCGGGUCUGCAUUCGAUACGGGCUAGCUAGAGUGUGGUAGGGGAGAUCGGAAUUCCUGGUGUAGCGGUGAAAUGCGCAGAUAUCAGGAGGAACACCGGUGGCGAAGGCGGAUCUCUGGGCCAUUACUGACGCUGAGGAGCGAAAGCGUGGGGAGCGAACAGGAUUAGAUACCCUGGUAGUCCACGCCGUAAACGUUGGGAACUAGGUGUUGGCGACAUUCCACGUCGUCGGUGCCGCAGCUAACGCAUUAA
rnacentral:rRNA from 1 species